UGACUUAGUAGACCCUAUGGCUUGAUGG
rnacentral:piRNA from 1 species